GUAGACAAAUUAGUUUAAAAUGUAUAGGUUUACCAAACGGUUAAGUGAUUAACCAUUAAGCACAGUUGGAUUAAGUGAUGGACAAAUUUAUUUAACCAAAUGAGAAGAGAAUCAUAUGAAAACCUUUGUGAGCACUGCAUUGUGAAAGGCAAUUACUUUAUAUGAAAGGUAUUUCUAGAUGAAACUAGGUUUGGUGAAAAAGUUACUGUAUGAUUGUGUGUGUUGUACUUAGUCAAUUGAAAAUGUGCUUAAAGUUUUUGAAGAACAGCAUUUUUGAUGAUCUGUUUUGAGUUUUGUACUAAGAGUUUAGAAAAUUCACUACGUGUGUGAAAAUAGCACCAAAGAAAACCAAUACUAAUGGUAAUAAUAAUCAUAGUAAUAAAACAGGGGGGUGUGUGUGUGUGUGUGUGUGUGUGUGUGUGUGUGUGUGUGUGUGUGUGUGUGUGUGUAUGUUUGUGUGUGUGUGUUUCAUGAAUGCACAGAUCCCCUUUUGGCCCUCCAGAUGGAGAACUCAGUGUUUUGCGGCCUGUAAAAGUGCAAAUAAAACAUAACUCAGUGGAAUCUCAGUCAUAAACUAAGAAAGAGAGGCUGCGUUUAUAACCCUAUAGGGAAAUCAAUCCAGCAACAGCUCUCGACAUCAGCGUUCACAUGGUCAGAAAAAACAUGUCCUCUUGCUAUUCUACAUAUUUUCAUACCAUCCUGUUAUUGUUUUUGAUCGAGGGAGAGUGUGAAAGAUAAAGAGAGAGAAAGAGAAGAGAGAGAGAGAGAGAGAGAGAGAGAGAGAAACAAAGUCAGACAGGUCAGACAGACGGUCAGCAAGACGAACCGGGAGUGUGAGAGAGUGCAAUCAAGAGAGAGGAGGAGUACAAUCAAGAGAGAGAGGUACAUUUGUCUAACAAGUCCAGUGUUUAGUGCUGAGCGAUUUAUGCUUUUUGAGGUCGGUUCGGUUUCCGUUAGAUUAUUACAAAAUAAUUACUGUUUCAAUUUUGAUUAUUUUUUAAAACAUUAAAUGCACUAUGCAUUAUGUGGGUUGAAUACUGUAACAGAAUA
rnacentral:lncRNA from 1 species